GGGCCGGUAGUUCAGCCCGGUUAGGAAUAUGCCCUGGAGAGGCCGCAUGGUCGGGAGUUCGAAUCUCCCCCGGCCCACCA
rnacentral:tRNA from 1 species